GCCCAUCCUCCACUGGUCAGCCUGGUGUCUGUAGGAUAAGACAGUCCAAGAAAAGAAGCAUAAUAAUAGGAAGUUCAGAAGAGAAAGACGACACAUUGAGUGGUUGGGAUUUGUAGAGGUGUCCUGUAUGCAUGUGCCUGUGCCCACACCGUGCAGAUAGAGUCGCGGGCAGCCAGGCAUGCGGUAACACCAACUGUCCGAGCCGCGGACAGAAGCUGCUGUGGAGCUAAAUGGAUUAGGCUGCACAUUAAGGUGAAGCUAUUUUAGUGCGUAGCUUUGCGGACUUUUACGGGGACAAACUCCACCUACAAAAUCAAAGCUGCGCACGUCCACCGACAGCCCCAGUUUGGCAGUGUAUUCACUUCUGGGAGCAAGCCCCAUAAGCCCAUUUUCAACAGAAGCUUACGUAAUAUAUAGGACUGCUGCCAGCUAAUGUGCUUCGGAGUUUAUUAAAAACCGGCGAAAUGUGGCGGUGAAAAAGUAAAGAAAACAGGGGGUCUUAUGUGAUAUUAACUCACCCGUGUCCAAAAACUGUGCCCUCAUAUCACUGAGUGCGAAAUAUUUAGUCCCCAGGGGUGUACGAACACCUGUGACGCUACCAGUUAACACCGCUGUUCAAUAUUUAGUAUGCGGUACAGUAUCAGUUAAUGGUAAUAACUCUGUACGUUUACGAUGCGCAGCUGUGGGCCUCCAAGCCUGGCUCACCAGCCGAGGAGCGGUGAGCAAACCUGGAGAGGGAACUGGAGUGGGGGAAGCAAUUUACACUUCAUAGCAGAAACAUCCAGCCUCCUUUGAAGCGCCAUUUGUAACCAUGAACCACCCACUGGUUUGCCAACAAUCGAAGGAACUGAACAACUCAAGUGUCUGGUGCGCGGACCUACCGUCUGGCACUUCUCUAUCGCUGAUGUGCUGCAGGUAGGGCCCGGUGUCCUCGCUCAGGUCGGUGUUGGCUUGAUAAUCUUCCACAGAGUCUGACUGCCGUGGGAGCUUCGGGCUCCCACCGGGAGACA